UACGAAGGGGGCUAGCGUUGCUCGGAAUCACUGGGCGUAAAGGGUGCGUAGGCGGGUCUUUAAGUCAGGGGUGAAAUCCUGGAGCUCAACUCCAGAACUGCCUUUGAUACUGAGGAUCUUGAGUUCGGGAGAGGUGAGUGGAACUGCGAGUGUAGAGGUGAAAUUCGUAGAUAUUCGCAAGAACACCAGUGGCGAAAGCGGCUCUCUGCGAGUACUGACGCUGAGUAGCA
rnacentral:rRNA from 1 species